CCAAUCGGGAUUUUGUGAAGUGGGCAGCGGGAGUUCGGUCUCUCUUCCGGGUCAGGCGCUUCUUUUGGUGCACAUUGUCUGGCUCAUUGUUCGUGGAAGUAGUGGAAGGUGAUGUGAGGAAUGUUCUCUGCGAUGCUGUAGAAAGACAUCAUGCUUCACUGCUGGUCGUGGGUAGUCAUGGUUAUGGAACUAUAAAGAGGUUGAUGCUGCUUCUAAUAGAAGUCGGUUUGGGAGGGAAGGCCAAUGUAAGCACUCUGAUAUGCAUCUAAUGUAGGGGUUGAUAUCCCAUUGGACGCUAAUAUUAAAGUUGUCUAGACACGUGGGAUAAUUGGAAUUUCACGCAUCCCUAGGGAAGAAAUCACAUCCACUAGAACAAGAUGGAUUUCAACUAAUUAUCCAACAUGACUAGGGGGGCUUGAUGUCAAAUAUUGCAGGAAACUUUCUUGGAACCAACCCUGAGUUUGGUACGCAUUUUAACCAGCCCAACAAGUUGUUGAUAUUGGGUUUUGGGCUAAUUGAUAAGCAUUCCAAGGCAUGAGCUUGAGUUCGAGGCAAGGCCAGCAUUUUUGUUCCCUCUUCUUCUUUCAUCUCCUAACUCACACCUUCACUGAAUGCUGAGUUCCGUGUGAGUGAUUGUAGAACAAGUCCUGUGGGCCUGAGGACUCUCACUCUCAAUAACGAUUGAACCAACCCUUACUUGGAUGAUUAAUCGAUUCUAUUCCACAUGGCUUCUGCAUCUUCAAUUGGCAUAAAGAAAUCGCAUACUCCUUUGUUUUAUUAUGUAUAUGCUGAUGUGGAGGGCCUUGGAUUUGAGUACUCAGACGAAGAACAAUAGGGGCAGGAUGUUCAUAUUGAGAAUCAUUUAGAUGAUAUACAGGUUUGGUUGAAACUGAUCCAGAAGGUGCACUUGCUGGGUCUUCUGAGGUAGUGCGCAUGGAAGAAGAGAAGGCUGACCGGUGCCUAGUUUUUGCUGACAUGCUGAUGGAGUAUGAGGUCAAUCCCUUUGAUGAACAAGAAGCAAAACCAUACAAAAAUGGCCCGGAAAUUUUGGGAGGGACAAAUUAAAGAGCAGCCUAUCAGUGGAAUGAGAUAUUGGAAUUUGAGAAAAUUCUAAAGAAAUUACGUUGGAGAUCUGCUAAAGAAUUUUAGAAAUCACGUCUCAGUGAAGCUCAGCAAACUUUGUGCGAGGAUAAUGAUUGCGUCUGUCUGGACGGUGUAAGUAAUGCCCUCCUGUCAGUUGAAGAGGUUGAAUAGAUAAGGGGGCAUUAUGGAACUAUUUGCCCAUUGCGGAGAAAACAAGCUGAACAUUAUCUUCUGGACUCUGGCUGCUUUUUCGCCGUACUUGGUUGCAUGGGAUAGGUCACUAAAUACUUUGGUAGUAUUCUUCACAUGGUCAACUUAAAAAGUCAAUGCAUUCCCCCCUUCCCU